rnacentral:rRNA from 1 species
UUCCAGACUCCUACGGGAGGCAGCAGUGGGGAAUAUUGGGCAAUGGAGGAAACUCUGACCCAGCAACGCCGCGUGAAUGAUGAAGGUCUUCGGAUUGUAAAGUUCUUUUCUAAGGGAAGAAGAAAGUGACGGUACCUUAGGAAUAAGCCUCGGCUAACUACGUGCCAGCAGCCGCGGUAAUACGUAGGUGGCAAGCGUUAUCCGGAUUUACUGGGUGUAAAGGGAGCGCAGGCGGCGCGGCAAGUCAGAUGUGAAAGCCCGGGGCUCAACCCCGGGACUGCAUUUGAAACUGCCGUGCUGGAGUGUCGGAGAGGCAAGUGGAAUUCCUAGUGUAGCGGUGAAAUGCGUAGAUAUUAGGAGGAACACCAGUGGCGAAGGCGGCUUGCUGGACGAUAACUGACGCUGAGGCUCGAAAGCGUGGGGAGCAAACAGGAUUAGAUACCCCAGUA